rnacentral:lncRNA from 1 species
GCACUACUGUCUGUGUUGUUGUUAUGUCUCUAGAUCGAACGAGUUGUUAAUUGUGAUUGUCGUCGCCCAACUCAAUUCUUUCCAACGAUACGAUUGAUGCUAUUACCUUCCCCUUUACCUUUGCAUACUGGGUGGACGACUGUGACCGUUGGGUGUCUGUAGCUCCUCGAGCAGUUUGACUCGAUGUUGUUGGACUCCUGCCUCAUUGUGAUCGAGGGGGAUUUUC